AAUAUGAUACAGUCUCUAAGAGUCGAGUUGUUUGG
rnacentral:rRNA from 1 species